ACCAUUUAAAAGUCUCAGGUAUCAGGUCAAUCAGGUGUAGUGUCUGUUCUUAUCAGUUUAAUAUCUGAUACGUCCUCUAGAUGAGGACUCUAUAAUAAAUAGAUUUUUAGAGCUGGAAGCUGGAAAAGGGGCUUGCUCAGUCCGCUUCACAAAUUGGCCUGGUAUUGCAGUACUCCCAGGCUUGGUUUUGUAAAU